AUUGAACGCUGGCGGCAGGCCUAUCACAUGCAAGUCGAGCGGAUGACGGGAGCUUGCUCCUUGAUUCAGCGGCGGACGGGUGAGUAAUGCCUAGGAAUCUGCCUGGUAGUGGGGGACAACGUUUCGAAAGGAACGCUAAUACCGCAUACGUCCUACGGGAGAAAGCAGGGGACCUUCGGGCCUUGCGCUAUCAGAUGAGCCUAGGUCGGAUUAGCCAGUUGGUGGGGUAAUGGCUCACCAAGGCGACGAUCCGUAACUGGUCUGAGAGGAUGAUCAGUCACACUGGAACUGAGACACGGUCCAGACUCCUACGGGAGGCAGCAGUGGGGAAUAUUGGACAAUGGGCGAAAGCCUGAUCCAGCCAUGCCGCGUGUGUGAAGAAGGUCUUCGGAUUGUAAAGCACUUUAAGUUGGGAGGAAGGGCAGUAAGUUAAUACCUUGCUGUUUUGACGUUACCGACAGAAUAAGCACCGGCUAACUCUGUGCCAGCCGCCGCAGUAAGAC
rnacentral:rRNA from 1 species